rnacentral:lncRNA from 1 species
GCGUGGAGCCACUGAGCUACAUCCCGGGCCCCUGUCCUAAAUUUCAGACAUGCCAUGGGUCACAUAGGUCAUGGAGUAUUUAUCAUUCCCAUCUUCAGAGGGGAAAACGGAGGCUCCCAGGCCGCGUCUGGUUUACUGCCUAAGGCCACCCGGCUGCCGUAACAGCGCGCAAACCUGAGCGCCUGGCGCGGUUGGAGUCGGGGCUGGCGCGCGAAGGGGCGGAGGAGCUGCCCUGAGGCCCACCCACCUUCAGCAGGGACGGCACAGAGGCUCUGCUCCAGGGGAACCGGGCAGAGCCCGGGAGGCUGGGAGACCACGGCGCGGGGCCCCAACACCAUCCGGGAUUGUUUUUUAAGUUUCAGACCCACCGAGGGGUCCCUGCGCGCCGCGGGUGCCGUAGACCUCGUCCAAGAGCAACUAAAUCGAGGCCGGAGCCGACCCGCAGUGCCGCCUGGCCAGACACGCAGAUUCCGGGCCAGAGGCUCCCAGGAGGCCGUGGGCCACGGACCCUCCGCCCCUUCCAGCUCGCCCCUCCCCCGGAGGGUUUCCACACUGCAGACAGAAUUCGAGAGCGAGAGAAAAUAAUUCGAUUUCGUCCUGUAUUAGGGCCUCAUUAAACACGAAAGUUGCUUUUGCACAAAUGCUCCCAUCAGGCAUGUAAUCUCAUUACGCUCAUUAGAAAGUCAAAUGUUAGGCAGACUUCAACUUAAUUAUAAGUUAUGCAAGUGCUGUACCGUUUUCUUCGCCCGUGUGGACCUGCGUUUCCCCUGGUUGGGG